GCUGCAACUCAGCAAAUAAUAGAUAGUCUCAUUUAAACUACAUAAUUUGAUAAUACAAGCUAGAAAACUACAAGGUAAACUUUGACAUAAGUACAUUUGUCAACUAAAAUACUUUUCUCUAACUUCACACAACCCUAGACUCUAUUAGUUCGGUAAGAGGUGUUGUCUGUGGAGGUUUGACCUCUGGAAUCUGAUUAAAUGUUUCUCUACAGUAGUUGCAAGUUAGAAGUUAUUUUAUGGAGAGCAAAACUUCUCACAGUCAUCAGGAGACAGGAAUCUGUGCAUCCUGAUUCAUUGUUAGUGUAUCAGCUGGUGUCGUUUGAGGUUACUUAACUGAGAGAAGCACUUCCCACAGUUAGAACAGAGAUAAGGCUUCUCACCUGUGUGAACUCUCCUGUGACUGGUAAGAUCAGAAGAUGUAAUGAAACUCUUCCCACAGUCAGAACAGGGGAAAGAUUUAUCUCCAGUAUGUAUCCGCUGAUGACGUUUAAGGUUACUUAACUGAGAGAAACUUUUCCCACAGUCAGAACAGGAGUAUGGUUUCUCACCUGUGUGCACUCUCUGGUGACUAGUGAGAUCUGAUGAUGUAAUAAAAAUAAUUCCACAGACAGAACAGGCAUAAGAUUUCUCUCCUUUAUGUAUACGCUGGUGAAGUUUGAGGCUGUUCAAUUGAGAGAAAGCUUUCCCACAGUCAAAACAAAGGUAAGGCUUCUCGCCAGUGUGUGUGCGCUGGUGAAGUUUGAGGUGACUAAACUGAGAGAAACCCUUCUCACAGUCAGAACAGGAGUAAGGCUUAUGACCUGUGUGCACUCUCUGGUGACUAGUACGAUCGGAUGAUGUAAUGAAACGUUUCCCACAGUCAAAGCAGGAAUAAGGUCUUUCCCCUGUGUGUAUUCUCUGAUGAAUAAUUAGAGCUGAUGAUGAAAUUAAACAUUUCCCACAAUCAGUACAAGAGUAUGGUUUUACUCCAGUAUGGAUGCGCUGGUGAACAUUAAGGCUACUUAGCUGAGAAAAAUAAUUUCCACAGUCAGAACAGGAAUAAGGUUUCUCUCCUGUAUGUGUGCGCUGGUGAACUUUGAGGCUAACUAACUGAGAAAAACUCUUACAACAGACAGUACAUGAAAAUGGCUUCUCUCCUGUGUGUACUCUCUGAUGAAUAGUGAGGUCAGCUGUUGUUGUAAAACAUCUUCCACAGUCAGAACAGGAGUAAGGUUUUUCUCCAGUAUGUAUCUUCUGGUGAUGUUUGAGGUUACUGAAAUGAGAGAAACUCUUUCCACAGUCAGAACAGGAGAAUAGUUUCUCUCCGGUGUGCACUUUCUGAUGUCUAGUGAGGUUAGAUGAUGUAAUGAAACACUUCCCACAUUCAGAACAGGAGUAAGGCCUCUCUCCAUGUAUGUUAAGGUGUCUUUUGAAGUUUGAUACUGAUAAGAAAACAAAAUCACAUUGGGGGCAGUGGAAUAAUCCCUUAGCUUCGCAGUCUUCUAGUUGUUUCCCUCCAGAUGUAGGAAAUGCCUUCACCUCAUGAAUC
ensembl:lncRNA